GCCCAAGUGGUGAAAUUGGUAGACACGCCAUCUUGAGGGGGUGGUGGCGAAAGCUGUGCCGGUUCGAGUCCGGCCUUGGGCACCA
rnacentral:tRNA from 2 species